rfam:Erinaceus europaeus unplaced genomic scaffold scaffold00707, whole genome shotgun sequence
GUGCCCUUUUAAAGAUUGAUGCAGUGCUUUAAGAGGCUAACACAGAAAGGCUAAGUCUCCAUAAAACCCAGGGAAGAGAUUGAAAACUCCUCUUUGGAUACUAUCUGCAAACAGGU